AUAUAGCGAGCACUACUACCGGGCUAUUGCUGUACGGAGCAAGAUGGUUUCCUGUUUAUGAGAAGAAGGCGGCGAAAAUUGUUUGGUAUAGUUGGUGAGAGAUUGUUGUAUUACCGGACCUUGCUACAUGUGAUGGAGUCUCUGUAAUAGUCCUUGACCUUCACCUGUAAUGGAUGGAGGCAAUAGCAUCAACCUUCAGUGAUGGAGGAGCUGCUGCUGCGGCAGCUGCUGCUGCGCUGCAGUACACAAGAAGUGUGACCCUGUGAAUGUGCAGGUGAAGGAGGAUGGUUGCUGUAAGCUGUACUACAAGGUGAAGGGUGUGCAAAGUGCAUCAUGGGAGAUCGAGGAGAGAGAAGGGAACUUCUAUGCAGUAUUCCAGGCCACGGUCAGUGGACAAGGUUACUACCACGAGUCCCACGCAAUACCAGCAGGCGUUAAGUCCAGAAUUGAUGUCGCGUCCAAGGGGCCCAAGAAAGAUUUCUACAAGGUGAAGAUCAACAAAACAGGCAAUUUUAAGAUUGCUAAUUACUUUUCAAACAAAAUCUGAAGAAAAAACAGACUGCGUUUUUCACUGGAAGUUUUUAAAUCAUCUUUACUACAUGAGUCUGCACUGCUAGUGGAGCUGUUUUGGAAUGGACAGUGGUGAGAAGUAUUUCAGAAGGAGUGGUUGUUUUCAGCUUUCGAUUUUUCAGUGGUUUGGUUCAAAUAUUUUUCUAUACAAAAUGGUUGAAUACAUGCUGUUCUUUAAAGAUGGAUGAUUGAUUAAUCGUUGAUGAAUUGAAGGAAAAUUGAUUGACAGUACACAAGUCAGAGGGAUAUUAUGUGCCUUCUUUGAGCCACUUAGAUGUAACUGAUGUCAUUGUGUUUUGGAUGAAGCUCAGUAUCGCGUGCUGUAGAACAGGGGAUGGCACAAUAUCUAGUCAGGUAUACCUAGUCCUCUAUUUCCUUGAAGUUCUUUUUGUAGUAUUACAAGUAAUAUGACAUUUAUCCAUUAGAUGAGAUUUUGCCAGCUCGGCAGUAACUUAAUCACUUUAGAAAGUUGGAUUGAAUGGCUUUUUCUGCAGCUGUCUACAGUUUGUCAUUCAUGACAAUUAAAGGUGCCGAGCCGAAUGUGUUCAAAGGAAUUGUCCUCAGCAUGGGUGAUUUUUACCUCUUUAUACUUUUCAUGUCAUAUCCUUUUAUGUCUGUACAAUUAUGCAGUGAAAAAUCUGCAAACAUUUUUUUACAUUUAUGUUAUUUUAUAAAGUAUUAAGUAAUGCAUAUCAAUGAGGGCUUUUUUAGUGGAGCUCAUUACAUGUGGCCAGUAAGCAUCCCAUCAGCCAUCACAGGAAAACUGUGUUCCAAUGGUUAUGUCUUCAGCAUUCCAAGAUCCUUGAAAAUUCGGGUUAGAUUUGGCCUUCAGCAGCUCAUGCCUGUCGAAAGAGGCGUCUUACACGAUUGGGUGGUCAGCCUCACUGAAUUGGUUGACAUGUCAUCAUAGCCCAACUUUGUAAAUCGAUGCUCAUGCUGUUAAUCACUGGAUUGUCUGGUCCAUACUCAAUUAUUCAGAGACCGCCGCCAUAUAGCUGUGAUAUUGCUGAGUCACUCACUGUUCAGCAACCCAUGCUUGUCAAAAAAGGCAACCAAGAGUUUAUUAAACCUUUGAGCAGUUUUAUAGUUGACAUGUGGUCAACUGUGAUUGUAAUUUUGACUGUUUGGUCAUGUUUGUGCAGACAAACACUUUCUUUGCAUGUGUUUGUGCAAUCAAUGUGGCAGGAUACGCUACCCCUUAUUUGAUAUCAUUACUAUUUGUACUUAAUCACGAACAUAUACUUUUUUGUAUUGCUUGAAUUAUAUUAUGAACUCUGCUUUACACAGUUUUUAAGGCUUUACCUCUUUCAUUUAAGCCAACUUUGAACUUUUUUGUUAUCAAGAAUCAAGAGAAAAUACAUAUUCAUGGAUUAACUAGAACCCUUCCCAGAAAGUUGUCAGUGCAUUAUUUGUAUCACAAGAGCCAGGACCCUGUUCCACAAAGCCAUCGUGGUGCUAAGGUGAACGUAACCCCGAUACUUCAACAUAGACUUACGACAGUCGUAGCGCUAUGAUCGCUUUAUGGAAUGGGGCCCAGGGCCCUGUUUCACAAAGCUCUCGUAAGCCUAAGAUCUCGUAACUUUUUUCAUAGCAUUUGUACCUCCUAUAGUGUAACAUUGAAUAGUCGUAGCGCUAUGAUCGCUUUGUGAAACAGGGCCCAGGUUUGUAGAUGAUAAGCAUCUUGUGGUGAACAUUUGCUUCCCUUUGUGGUGCCAGGAUCUGCUAGUUGAGAUGUGUUCAUGAACUUUCUCAUGUGUUCAUCAUUUCGUAGGCAUUAAAGUAAAUGUAUCACUGUUCUAUGAUGAACAUAAUCCCAAGACAGUUUAUUGACCCGUAAAGCGCAAGCUUGCAUUUUAUCUAUGUCGCUUUCUUGUUACAAUUGUCACCUUAAUACAAAGUAUUUCCAAGGUUCCAAGUCAACAGUUACCAUUAUUAUCCUCCUCAGUCAAUGCUCCUGGGUUUCAGCAAAGUGUUACACAUAAGCACCUUCAUCUUCAACUUUAAUCACAUAUCUCAGCUUGGACGUGUAAUAUCCAAUGUCAUAUUGAGGUACUGUAACACCUCCAGGGGGAUGGACUUGAGACAGCACAAGGCGCAACGUCAAAGGAUGUUAGCUUUAUUUCUUGAGUAUAUUUGUGAGAUAGGGCGGACACUUAGUACACAAGUUGCAGAGUCCGGCAGAGGCUACCAGGGGAAGGCGACGAGGUGAAGUUGACACUUGGGCAGCAGAUGUCUGGAUUGGCUGGUCAGUUCGUCCCUUCAAGUCCCUGGUUUGCCUCUUCUGCUGGUCUGUCCACGCCUUUCCCGCUGUCUGCCGGCUCUCCUUUACUUGCCUAUCCUCCCUACUUUUAUAUGCACAUGAAUGAUAAAUAAUUUGCUUAGCUUGCAACAUUUUUGACUAGUCAGCAGUUCCACUGGCAUGAUCUGCCCUGGUGGCCAUGUUUUGAUUAGUCGGCAUUUCUCAUGGCCGUACUCUACUUGGGCGGCCAUAUUUUGCUUAGCUGUGAGUGACACAUCGCUGACAAGUGUCCAGACAUAUCGCUGACAAGUGUGCACAAACAAUAGUGUUACAGUACCUUUAACAUGCAUGUAACUUUGUUAAAUAUCAACUGUGUCACAUAUGUAAUCUGAUUGUACAUGAAUGGGUGAGUUUAGUUUUAUACUGCUUUUAGCAAUAUUCCAGCAAUAUCAUGGCAGGAUACAGGAAAUGGGUGUACCCAUGUGGGGAAUCGAACCCAAGUUUUGGGCAUGACAAGCGAAUGCUUUAACCACUAGGCUAUUCCACCGCCCCUGAUUGUACAUGGGUUAUCUGGAACUGGUUUCAGUAUGUUUUGUAUUAACCUACUUUUUAUCUUUUUUUGAUGAUGAAUGGCAUUUAGAAGUGAUACACAUAACGGUGAAAAUUUGCAGAUAUCAGCAUCUCUAUUAUGAGAAACAUGUUUUAGAUACUCCUUUGUCAGGUGAAUAAGUGCCAGGAUUCAAAGAGGAUAUAAAAAUAUGUAAGAACAAAA